rnacentral:rRNA from 1 species
UACAGAGGGUGCGAGCGUUGUUCGGAAUACUGGGCGUAAAGCGCGCGCAGGCGGCCUUUUAAGUCUGACGGUGAAAUGCCGGGGCUCAACCCCGUGCCCGCCGCGGAUACUGGGAGGCUGGAGACGAGUAGAGGCAAGCGGAAUUCCGGGUGUAGCGGUGGAAUGCGUAGAGAUCCGGAAGAACACCGGAGGCGAAGGCGGC